AGUCAGAAUCAAGACAGAAUUCUGAGAAAAAAGUUCUGACUUCAGGAUUCUGAUUU
rnacentral:pre_miRNA from 1 species